rnacentral:lncRNA from 1 species
UGAAGAGAAAAAAAAAAAAAACAGUUGCUUAAGUUUAUUGUUAGGCUAACCACUUCUGCCUCUGUAAACUGGCCUGCUUAUUGCUCACCACCUCUGCUUCUGUGAACUGGCCUACUUAUUGGGUCAGCCAAACUGCUUAGGCGGGAAAGUCACUAGGACCCAGAAUCCCAUGCCAUAGAAAAGAUAGCCAGAACAAAGCCUGUGCACUCAGCCUCUGGAGGCAACUCUGGAGUCCAGACAGGUGCUAAAUAAACUGCUGUUCUGCAUCUCCCAGUGUCACUGGUCUCUC